GUAGUUGACUCCGUGGCACAGGACGACGCUGGCGGCGUGCUUAACACAUGCAAGUCGAACGGAAAGGCCCUGCUUUUGUGGGGUGCUCGAGUGGCGAACGGGUGAGUAACACGUGAGUAACCUGCCCUUGACUUUGGGAUAACUUCAGGAAACUGGGGCUAAUACCGGAUAGGAGCUCCUGCUGCAUGGUGGGGGUUGGAAAGUUUCGGCGGUUGGGGAUGGACUCGCGGCUUAUCAGCUUGUUGGUGGGGUAGUGGCUUACCAAGGCUUUGACGGGUAGCCGGCCUGAGAGGGUGACCGGCCACAUUGGGACUGAGAUACGGCCCAGACUCCUACGGGAGGCAGCAGUGGGGAAUAUUGCACAAUGGGCGGAAGCCUGAUGCAGCAACGCCGCGUGGAGGUGGAAGGCCUACGGGUCGUCAACUUCUUUUCUCGGAGAAGAAACAAUGACGGUAUCUGAGGAAUAAGCAUCGGCUAACUCUGUG
rnacentral:rRNA from 1 species